AAUUUGGCCUAGUGUUUAAUAUCUUAACAAUGUGGAGUAAUUAUAGUUGAUUAAUUUACCUCAGCACUUUCUGAGGAGGGCCUUGGAGGCAGGAAGGACUGCCAGGAGGGCAAGGCCCUUGUCGGCAUCGGGAAGUACAAGUGGGACUCACUACAGGACCUGUAUGAGGCUACGGGUGCGGACAGGAUAAAAUAUAUGUCAGGAGCUUGAGGGCGCAGACACCCCAUUAUCCUGGGAGUGCAAUGGCCGCCUUGAUUGGCUACAUUCAGUGCAGAGACCAGGAGGGGGUAGCUGCUGUGGCCAGGCCCGCCCCAGCCAGCACCACCCCUGCCAGCACCAUCCGGCCCAAGAGUGCGGCUACGUAAGUGUAGGGGCCUGACCCUGAUUGUUACAUGUUUUUUUAACGAACGCAUUCAUUUUGGGGUAAUUGCUUUUCUUUUAAUUAACUUAAGUUGUAUUGAUAUUUUAUUGUUUGGAUUGUUUAUUUUUGUAAGAUAAACAAAAUGUAUGGACUAGAAAAAAAUAAAAUAAAAUCACCUUUGGGGAACUGCCUGUUCAGAACUGGAAGCCACCAUGGACGGCUAGGUGUGGAGGUGGGUCCUUGUGUUUUUAGAACUGGAGGCCACCAUGGACGGCUGGCUACAUGUCAGGUGUGGAGGUGGGUCCUUGUAUUUCCCAGCAUUAUUUGUUUUUUGUGUGUGUUACAACUCUGUAAACCGUGUGUUUGACUAAUAAAAUGACAUAUUUACUUG